UGGCUCCGCGGGGGUCACGCUCAGUUGGGAGGAGCCCCGCACUUCUUCGAAGACCCUCUGCAGCCAGGAAGCCCCGCCGCGCUCUUGGAGUCAUCAGUGCAGAACUGAAUUAGAAAUGAAGCAGAAAGCCAGAAUUCUUCCUCUUCUCUACUUACUACAGUUAUUCCUGAUUUUGAAGGAGAAUCAGAAAAGGUCGGAGGAAACCUCUGAAGGGCACCUUGUUUAACCCUAAAGCAGGGCAAAGUUAUAAAAGGUUACUCAGGACCUUGUCCAGGUCCCAAGCUGAUUCCUGCUGGGCACCUCCAUGAAAGCUGGAGCACAGAUACCAAAAGCUGUUCCAUAGCCCAGGCAAGAACAAGAAACCACAGAUUGUUUUCAGUAGCCAACUAAAACCUGCCCUAAGGUGUCUCAGCUGAAGCCAAAGCCCACACACAAACACUCCUAGAGACUGCAAGGAGCAUCAGACCCUGCAUUCACCUGCUUCAGAUGGCAAGAAAAACAAAAACCUUCACUCUACCCAGAACACAUGAAGUUUAUUUGGUAAUACUCAGAUGUAUUUCCCAAAGUAGCUGUCUGUUAAAUACAAAUCACAUUCUGCUGAGUGAAGGGACUUCGUUAAUACAUAAGAUUAUACUUUUGAUUUUACAGGAGUUCUUGCAGUGGCUGUGUGAGCAGGAAGGCAAACCUGACAGGAAUCAGCCUACUCAUUCCACUUCUCUAGAGGACUGGUGGAUCUCACACACAGAGGAGAUGCAAAACCCAUGCAGAUUUCUAAAGGCAGUGAUACCACUCCUUCAUGUCAUUACAGCAUGCAAGGAUCACAACAAUCUAACACUUA